rnacentral:rRNA from 1 species
GACGAACGCUGGCGGCGUGCUUAACACAUGCAAGUCGAACGAAGUGGCGAACGGGUGAGUAACGCGUAAUCAACCUGCCCUUCAGAGGGGGACAACAGUUGGAACCGACUGCUAAUACCGCAUACUGAAGGUGGUGAUUGCGUCUGAUUAGCUAGUUGGAGGGGUAACGGCCCACCAAGGCGAUGAUCAGUAGCAGGGCUGGGAGGAGGGACGGGCAAAUGGGGACUGAGACAAGGCCCAGACUACGACGGGAGGCAGCAGUGGGGAAUCUUCCGAAAUGGACGAAAGUCUGACGGAGCAACGCCGCGUGAGUGAUGACGGCCUUCGGGUUGUAAAGCUCUGUUAAUCGGGACGCGGUACCGGAAUAGAAAGCCACGGCUAACUACGUGCCAGCAGCCGCGGUAAUUC